rnacentral:rRNA from 1 species
UAAGGUGACUAUUGCAACGGGGCUCCACCUCUUCCCAUUUCGAACAGAGAAGUUAAGCCCGUUUGCGCCGAUGGUACUGCAUUAGUGGGAGAGUAGGUCGUCGCCAACU